rnacentral:rRNA from 1 species
GACGAACGCUGGCGGCGUGCUUAACACAUGCAAGUCGAACGAAGCUUGAUUACGGAUUCUUCGGAUGAAGUAUGAUAUGACUGAGUGGCGGACGGGUGAGUAACGCGUGAGUAACCUGCCCUUCAGAGGGGGAUAGCGUUUGGAAACGAACGGUAAUACCGCAUAAUGUAUUUUGACCGCAUGAUCGAAGUACCAAAGAUUUAUCGCUGAAGGAUGGACUCGCGUCUGAUUAGGUAGUUGGUGGGGUAACGGCCUACCAAGCCGACGAUCAGUAGCCGGACUGAGAGGUUGAUCGGCCACAUUGGGACUGAGACACGGCCCAGACUCCUACGGGAGGCAGCAGUGGGGAAUAUUGCACAAUGGGCGCAAGCCUGAUGCAGCAACGCCGCGUGAAGGAAGACGGUUUUCGGAUUGUAAACUUCUGUUCUUAGUGAAGAAUAAUGACGGUAGCUAAGGAGCAAGCCACGGCUAACUACGUG